GUGAACGCUGGCGGUAGGCCUAACACCUGCAAGUCGAACGGCAGCACAGUAAGAGCUUGCUCUUACGGGUGGCGAGUGGCGGACGGGUGAGGAAUACAUCGGAAUCUACUUUUUCGUGGGGGAUAACGUAGGGAAACUUACGCUAAUACCGCAUACGACCUACGGGUGAAAGCAGGGGAUCUUCGGACCUUGCGCGAUUGCAUGAGCCGAUGUCGGAUUAGCUAGUUGGCGGGGUAAAGGCCCACCAAGGCGACGAUCCGUAGCUGGUCUGAGAGGAUGAUCAGCCACACUGGAACUGAGACACGGUCCAGACUCCUACGGGAGGCAGCAGUGGGGAAUAUUGGACAAUGGGCGCAAGCCUGAUCCAGCCAUACCGCGUGGGUGAAGAAGGCCUUCGGGUUGUAAAGCCCUUUUGUUGGGAAAGAAAAGCAGCAGGUUAAUACCCCGCUGUUCUGACGGUACCCAAAGAAUAAGCACCGGCUAACUUCGUG
rnacentral:rRNA from 1 species